rnacentral:rRNA from 1 species
GCGAGGAAUCUUGCACAAUGGGCGAAAGCCUGAUGCAGCAACGCCGCGUGGGUGAAGAAGGCCUUCGGGUUGUAAAUCCCUUUUGUCGGGGAAGAAUUCUGACGGUACCCGGCGAAUAAGCCACGGCUAACUACGUGCCAGCAGCCGCGGUAAUACGUAGGUGGCAAGCGUUAUCCGGAUUUACUGGGCGUAAAGCGUACGUAGGCGGUCCGAUAAGUUCGUUGUGAAAUCUCCCGGCUUAACUGGGAGGGGUCAAUGGAAACUGUCGGACUGGAGGGGCGUAGAGGCGAGCGGAAUUCCCGGUGUAGUGGUGAAAUGCGUAGAUAUCGGGAGGAACACCAGUGGCGAAAGCGGCUCGCUAGGCGCUACCUGACGCUGAGGUACGAAAGCGUGGGGAGCGAACCGG